rnacentral:tRNA from 2 species
GCCGGUGUAGCUUAAUUAAAGCAUAAUACUGAAGAUGUUAAGACGGGCCCUAAAAAGCCCCAUGGGCA